rnacentral:sRNA from 1 species
UUCUGGUCCCGAUUUACGUGGAAAUCCUUUUUGUUUUGGCGAAAGACAAAACAAAAAAAUUGUAACAGAAAGCGGGUGGAAUC